CAACCCAUUUAUUUUAUUUAUUUCCGAAGGACAACAUGAGCACGGCCACAACAACCAGUCUGAUUAAACACAAGAUGAUGCGCUGCCGAAUUACGACCAAGAAUUUACAAAUAUUUCUUAAAUACCCACUAAACAGACUACCGGUGAAGUGGUGAACAGUCCCAUAUGAUAGUUUUAUCUUUGGAAGAUUCCAAAUUCAGUUGCAAAGGAACACAUGCAUUGUAGCCAUUACUGAGUGAUUGACAAAAAACUACCACUUUAGGGGUUUGCGUCUCACAGAACUACCACUUUAAAACAAGUGACCGAAAACUAUCAAAAUUUUCUAAUUGUGUGACUAAAAACUAUCACUUUCAGAUAAUGACCAGUUUAAACGAUUUAAACGUCUUUAUGACAGGCGGGGCCCAUCUGUCAGCGUUGACGUGGCGUCAAAGUCAACUUCACAACACUCGCAAAAAAAAGUCAACUUCACAGGAGAGGCGGACGACGAGCGCCGGUGCGUGGAAGCUCGUCGGCGGGAACCUGGCAGGCGUGGCUACGUCGGGAAGGGCUCGAGGUCCGGCGCGAGUUCCCCCACGCCGGCGUCCGGCAGGGGCGGCUGCGGGGCCGGUGCGAGGAAGCGGCAGGGCAGCUGCUGUUCCACGGGCGCGGCACCGGGCACGAGCGGCGGGUCCAGCUGCUGCUGCAUGGGGCGCGACGCCGGGCACGAGCGGCGGGGCCAGCUGCUGCUGCGCGGGCCGCGAUUUUGGGCCCUCUCUGCUGAGCUCGACGACGGAGCGAGCCCGCACGAUGCGUCGGAGCCGGGCACAGGCGGCGGGUUCAGCUGCUGCGAGGGGGCGCGAUACCGGGCCCUCCAUGCUGAGCCCGGUGGAGGGCGGCGGGUUCAGCUGCUGCGUGGGGGCACGACGUCGGGCCCUCCCUGCUGAGCCCGGUGGACGGUGGCGGAGGUGGCGUGCAGGUGCACACGAGGUGUUCGGGAAAAUGCCACAGAGAGAGGAGGAAGAAGGAGGAGGUUGAAGCUGUCGUGUGGGUCCCGCCUGUCAUAAACACGUUUAAAUCAUCUAAAAUAGUCAUUACCUGAAAGUGGUAGUUUUUAGUCACAAAAUUAAAAAAAAUUGAUAGUUUCGAUCACUUUUCUUAAAGUGGUAGUUCUGUGGGACGCAAACCUCUGGUAGUUUUUUGUCAAUCACUCCAUGUUACUCAUUCUGAACAGGCCUGAAGCCGGGAAGUCGUAUUUCUUUGGGAAAAUGGAUACAGCAAAGGAGCUAUUACAUCAAAUUUACCAACAUAAACAUAAACCAAAGUGCGGAGGGGCAUCAUCAGACGUGGACUUUUACUUUGUAGCCUGGGCAGUGAUGUUGCUGAUGGAGCCAGCUUCCUUUUAGCAGCCUCUACCAAUGAAUCCCGUGCAAAUAGGGAAGCAAACAGUUAAUACAACUAUGUACUUCUUAAGAGCAGUCCAACACAGGUUGGUCUGUUGUUAGCCGACAGGGUACUAAUCGGCCUGCUGUAAGUUAAUUAGUUCCAAUUGGCCACCAGAUGACUGACUGUAUUAUUUCAAAAAAACUGCGUAAUAUUUCUGAAAAUUAAUUAAAAAUGUAUAGUUUAAAAAAAUUAGCACUAUUUAGACCGGUCGAGCCCUUGUGCUUAGGCGAGGUGGGACUAAACCCAGCUCUCACACAAACGGAGAAGUUCAAAAUAAUCAUGCAAUGAAACAACGCUUUGCCGAGAGCCAAGUCACGGGCUCCCGGCAAAGCCUAGCCACUGUCACCGAGCCGUCAACCACUACUGGACUUGCCACAGGCACCUCUUUGCCGUGGGUACACUGUUUGGUUCUCGGCGUACAGAGCGAUUGCCGAGUUGCCUCCUUUUACCGAGUGUUCUUUACAAAUUGUCUUGGUACAUGCCUGUGUUUGCCGUGCAGCAUCUAAUGCCGAGCAAGACUCGCGGCUUACGUCGUUUUGCCGAGCGCUUGUGUCUUGGUUCUCGGCAAAGAGCCGAACACUUGGCGUAGAGUGAAAUUCCAGUAGUGCACACAACUGGAUGCAUGACUUCAUUUCUAAAACUAUGCAUUAUCCUUGAAUGAAACGAGUGUCAUGUAAAUGGUAUGCACAAGAAGGCCAGAACUCUCAGCAUCAUGUCUGUGUGCGAUUGUUCUCAUGAAUCCUGGUACCUUCCAUCCCUAAACCAGUUAUCUUGUUGGAAAUCCAGUAGUUGAUAGUUCUCACUCAUAGAAAGCCUAAGAUCAACAAGGAAGAGGGAACUGGAUUGGACUUUAGCCCGUGGAUAUUGUAAGCCUAGUACAGUACGUACUACGUACGUAAGAAGGGAGGAAAGCAAGGCCGGUGUAUAUAUAGGCAGAGACAGCUAAGAUGCUAGGGUUGUACUAGGGGCAACACAUUUAUUUUAUUUAUUUCUGAAGGACAACAUGAGCACGGCCACAACAACCAGUCUGAUUAAACACAAGAUAAUGCGCUGCCGAAUUACGACCAAGAAUUUACAAAUACUUCUUAAAUACCCACUAAACAGACUACUGGUGAACAAUCUCCAUGACAGUUUUAUCUUUGGAAGAUUCCAAAUUCA
rnacentral:lncRNA from 1 species